UACGUAGGGUGCAAGCGUUGUCCGGAAUUUAUUGGGCGUAAAGAGCUCGUAGGCGGUUUGUCGCGUCUGCUGUGAAAACCCGAGGCUCAACCUCGGGCCUGCAGUGGGUACGGGCAGACUAGAGUGCGGUAGGGGAGAUUGGAAUUCCUGGUGUAGCGGUGGAAUGCGCAGAUAUCAGGAGGAACACCGAUGGCGAAGGCAGGUCUCUGGGCAUUAACUGACGCUGAGGAGCGAAAGCAUGGGGAGCGAACAGG
rnacentral:rRNA from 1 species